GUACUAUACAAUAGUUAAAACUUUCAACAACGGAUCUCUUGGUUCUGGCAUCGAUGAAGAACGCAGCGAAAUGCGAUAAGUAAUGCGAAUUGCAGAAUUCAGUGAGUCAUCGAAUCUUUGAACGCACAUUGCGCCCUGUGGUAUUCCGCAGGGCAUGCCUGUUCGAGCGUCAUUUCAACCCUCAAGCACUGCUUGGUGUUGGGCCCUGCCCGUCGCGGCCGGCCCUAAAGACAGUGGCGGUGCCGUCUGGCUCUAAGCGUAGUACAACUCUCGCUCUAGAGUCCUGCGGUAGCUCGCCAGAACCCCUAAUCUUAUGGUUGACCUCGGAUCAGGUAGGGAUACCCGCUGAACUUAA
rnacentral:sRNA from 1 species